AAUGUGCUGGAGUGUGGUCGUCCUCAAUGUGUUGGAGUCAGUGGCCAUUAUAUGUGUUGAAGUGUGGUGGUCCUCAAUGUGUUGGAGUCAGUGGUCCUCAAUGUGUUGGAGUGUGGUGGUCCUCAAUGUGUUGGAAUCAGUGAUGGUCCUCAAUGUGUUGGAGUCAGUGGUCCUCAAUGUGUUUGAGUGUGGUGGUCCUCAAUGUGUUGGAGUCAGGGAUGGUCCUCAAUGUGUUUGAGUCAGUGGUCCUCAAUGUGUUGGAGUGUGGUGGUCCUCAAUGUGUUGGAGUCAGUGGUCCUCAAUGUGUUGGAGUGUGGUGGUCCUCAAUGUGUUAGAGUCAGUGGUCCUCAAUGUGUUGGAGUCAGUGGUCCUCAAUGUGUUGGAGUCAGUGGUCCUCAAUGUGUUGGAGUGUGGUGGUCCUCAAUGUGUUGGAGUCAAUGGAUCUCAAUGUGUUGGAGUCAGUGGUCCUCAAUGUGUUGGUGUGUGGUGGUCCUCAAUGUGUGGGAGUCUGUGGUCCUCAAUGUGUUGGAGUCAGUGGUCCUCUAUGUGUUGGAGUCAGUGGUCCUCAAUGUGCUGGAGUGUGGUCGUCCUCAAUGUGCUGGAGUGUGGUCGUCCUCAAUGUGUUGGAGUCAGUGGCCAUUAUAUGUGUUGAAGUGUGGUGGUCCUCAAUGUGUUGGAGUCAGUGGUCCUCAAUGUGUUGGAGUGUGGUGGUCCUCAAUGUGUUGGAAUCAGUGAUGGUCCUCAAUGUGUUGGAGUCAGUGGUCCUCAAUGUGUUUGAGUGUGGUGGUCCUCAAUGUGUUGGAGUCAGGGAUGGUCCUCAAUGUGUUUGAGUCAGUGGUCCCUCAAUGUGUUGGAGUGUGGUGGUCCUCAAUGUGUUGGAGUGUGAUGGUCCUCAAUGUGCUGGAGUGUGGUCAGCCUCAAUGUGUUGGAGUCAGUGGUCCUCAAUGUGUUGGAGUGUGGUGGUCCUCAAUGUGUUGGAGUCAGUGGUCCUCAAUGUGUUGGAGUCAGUGGUCCUCAAUGUGUUGGAGUGUGGUGGUCCUCAAUGUGUUGGAGUCAGUGGUCCUCAAUGUGUUGGAGUGUGGUGGUCCUCAAUGUGUUGGAGUGUGAUGGUCCUCAAUGUGUUGGAGUCAGUGAUCCUCAUUGUGUUGGAGUCAGUGGUCCUCAAUGUGUUGGAGUCAGUGGUCCUAAAUGUGUUGGAGUCAGUGGUCCUCAAAGUGUUGGAGUGUGGUGGUCCUCAAUGUGUUGGAGUCAGUGGUCCUCAAUGUGUUGGAGUGUGGUGGUCCUCAAUGUGUUAGAGUCAGUGGUCCUCAAUGUGUUGGAGUGUGGUGGUCCUCAAUGUGUUGGAGUCAGUGGUCCUCAAUGUGUUGGAGUCAGUGGUCCUCAAUGUGUUGGAGUCAGUGGUCCUCAAUGUGUUGAAGUCAGUGGAUCUCAAUUUGUUGGGGUGUGGUGGUCCUCAAUGUGUUGGAGUCAGUGGAUCUCAAUGUGUUGGAGUCAGUGGUCCUCAAUGUGUUGGAGUGUGGUGGUCCUCAAUGUGUUGGAGUGUGGUGGUCCUCAAUGUGUUGGAGUUAGUGGUCUUCAAUGUGUUGGAGUCAGUGGUCCUCAAUGUGUUGGAGUCAGUGGUCCUCAAUGUGUUGGAGUGUGGUGGUCCUCAAUGUGUUGGAGUCAGUGGUCCUCAAUGUGUUGGAGUGUGGUGGUCCUCAAUGUGUUGGAGUCAGUGGAUCUCAAUGUGUUGGAGUCAGUGGUCCUCAAUGUGUUGGUGUGUGGUGGUCCUCAAUGUGUGGGAGUCAAUGGAUCUCAAUGUGUUGGAGUCAGUGGUCCUCAAUGUGUUGGUGUGUGGUGGUCCUCAAUGUGUGGGAGUCUGUGGUCCUCAAUGUGUUGGAGUCAGUGGUCCUCUAUGUGUUGGAGUCAGUGGUCCUCAAUGUGCUGGAGUGUGGUCGUCCUCAAUGUGCUGGAGUGUGGUCGUCCUCAAUGUGUUGGAGUCAGUGGCCAUUAUAUGUGUUGAAGUGUGGUGGUCCUCAAUGUGUUGGAGUCAGUGGUCCUCAAUGUGUUGGAGUGUGGUGGUCCUCAAUGUGUUGGAAUCAGUGAUGGUCCUCAAUGUGUUGGAGUCAGUGGUCCUCAAUGUGUUUGAGUGUGGUGGUCCUCAAUGUGUUGGAGUCAGGGAUGGUCCUCAAUGUGUUUGAGUCAGUGGUCCCUCAAUGUGUUGGAGUGUGGUGGUCCUCAAUGUGUUGGAGUGUGAUGGUCCUCAAUGUGCUGGAGUGUGGUCAGCCUCAAUGUGUUGGAGUCAGUGGUCCUCAAUGUGUUGGAGUGUGGUGGUCCUCAAUGUGUUGGAGUCAGUGGUCCUCAAUGUGUUGGAGUCAGUGGUCCUCAAUGUGUUGGAGUGUGGUGGUCCUCAAUGUGUUGGAGUCAGUGGUCCUCAAUGUGUUGGAGUGUGGUGGUCCUCAAUGUGUUGGAGUGUGAUGGUCCUCAAUGUGUUGGAGUCAGUGAUCCUCAAUGUGUUGGAGUCAGUGGUCCUCAAUGUGUUGGAGUCAGUGGUCCUAAAUGUGUUGGAGUCAGUGGUCCUCAAUGUGUUGGAGUGUGGUGGUCCUCAAUGUGUUGGAGUCAGUGGUCCUCAAUGUGUUGGAGUGUGGUGGUCCUCAAUGUGUUAGAGUCAGUGGUCCUCAAUGUGUUGGAGUGUGGUGGUCCUCAAUGUGUUGGAGUCAGUGGUCCUCAAUGUGUUGGAGUCAGUGGUCCUCAAUGUGUUGGAGUCAGUGGUCCUCAAUGUGUUGAAGUCAGUGGAUCUCAAUUUGUUGGGGUGUGGUGGUCCUCAAUGUGUUGGAGUCAGUGGAUCUCAAUGUGUUGGAGUCAGUGGUCCUCAAUGUGUUGGAGUGUGGUGGUCCUCAAUGUGUUGGAGUGUGGUGGUCCUCAAUGUGUUGGAGUUAGUGGUCUUCAAUGUGUUGGAGUCAGUGGUCCUCAAUGUGUUGGAGUCAGUGGUCCUCAAUGUGUUGGAGUGUGGUGGUCCUCAAUGUGUUGGAGUCAGUGGUCCUCAAUGUGUUGGAGUGUGGUGGUCCUCAAUGUGUUGGAGUCAGUGGAUCUCAAUGUGUUGGAGUCAGUGGUCCUCAAUGUGUUGGUGUGUGGUGGUCCUCAAUGUGUGGGAGUCUGUGGUCCUCAAUGUGUUGGAGUCAGUGGUCCUCAAUGUGUUGGAGUGUGGUGGUCCUCAAUGUGUUGGAGUCAGUGGUCCUCAAUGUGUUGGAGUCAGUGGUCCUCAAUGUGUUGGAGUGUGGUGGUCCUCAAUGUGUUGGAGUGUGGUGGUCCUCAAUGUGUUGGAGUCAGUGGUCCUCAAUGUGUUGGAGUGUGGUGGUCCUCAAUGUGUUGGAGUCAGUGGUCCUCAAUGUGUUGGAGUGUGGUGGUCCUCAAUGUGUUAGAGUCAGUGGUCCUCAAUGUGUUGGAGUGUGGUGGUCCUCAAUGUGUUGGAGUCAGGGAUGGUCCUCAAUGUGUUGGAGUCAGUGGUCCUCAAUGUGUUGGAGUGUGGUGGUCCUCAAUGUGUUGGAGUGUGGUGGUCCUCAAUGUGCUGGAGUGUGGUCAGCCUCAAUGUGUUGGAGUCAGUGGUCCUCAAUGUGUUGGAGUGUGGUGGUCCUCAAUGUGUUGGAGUCAGUGGUCCUCAAUGUGUUUGAGUGUGGUGGUCCUCAAUGUGUUGGAGUCAGUGGUCCUCAAUGUGUUGGAGUCAGUGGUCCUCAAUGUGUUGGAGUGUGGUGGUCCUCAAUGUGUUGGAGUGUGAUGGUCCUCAAUGUGUUGGAGUGUGAUGGUCCUCAAUGUGUUGGAGUCAGUGGUCCUCAAUGUGUUGGAGUGUGGUGGUCCUCAAUGUGUUGGAGUCAGUGGUCCUCAAUGUGUUGGAGUGUGGUGGUCCUCAAUGUGUUGGAGUCAGUGGUCCUCAAUGUGUUGGAGUCAGUGGUCCUCAAUGUGUUGGAGUCAGUGGUCCUCAAUGUGUUGAAGUCAGUGGAUCUCAAUUUGUUGGGGUGUGGUGGUCCUCAAUGUGUUGGAGUCAGUGGAUCUCAAUGUGUUGGAGUCAGUGGUCCUCAAUGUGUUGGAGUGUGGUGGUCCUCAAUGUGUUGGAGUGUGGUGGUCCUCAAUGUGUUGGAGUUAGUGGUCUUCAAUGUGUUGGAGUCAGUGGUCCUCAAUGUGUUGGAGUCAGUGGUCCUCAAUGUGUUGGAGUGUGGUGGUCCUCAAUGUGUUGGAGUCAGUGGUCCUCAAUGUGUUGGAGUGUGGUGGUCCUCAAUGUGUUGGAGUCAGUGGAUCUCAAUGUGUUGGAGUCAGUGGUCCUCAAUGUGUUGGUGUGUGGUGGUCCUCAAUGUGUGGGAGUCUGUGGUCCUCAAUGUGUUGGAGUCAGUGGUCCUCAAUGUGUUGGAGUGUGGUGGUCCUCAAUGUGUUGGAGUCAGUGGUCCUCAAUGUGUUGGAGUCAGUGGUCCUCAAUGUGUUGGAGUGUGGUGGUCCUCAAUGUGUUGGAGUCAGUGGUCCUCAAUGUGUUGGAGUGUGGUGGUCCUCAAUGUGUUAGAGUCAGUGGUCCUCAAUGUGUUGGAGUGUGGUGGUCCUCAAUGUGUUGGAGUCAGUGGUCCGCAAUGUGUUGGAGUCAGUGGUCCUCAAUGUGUUGGAGUGUGGUGGUCCUCAAUGUGUUGGAGUGUGGUGGUCCUCAAUGUGUUAGAGUUAGUGGUCCUCAGUGUGUUGGAGUGUGGUGGUCCUCAAUGUGUUGGAGUCAGUGGAUCACAAUGUGUUGGAGUCAGUGGUCCUCAAUGUGUUGGUGUGUGGUGGUCCUCAAUGUGUGGGAGUCUGUGGUCCUCAAUGUGUUGGAGUCAGUGGUCCUCUAUGUGUUGGAGUCAGUGGUCCUCAAUGUGCUGGAGUGUGGUCGUCCUCAAUGUGCUGGAGUGUGGUCGUCCUCAAUGUGUUGGAGUCAGUGGCCAUUAUAUAUGUUGAAGUGUGGUGGUCCUCAAUGUGUUGGAGUCAGUGGUCCUCAAUGUGUUGGAGUGUGGUGGUCCUCAAUGUGUUGGAAUCAGUGAUGGUCCUCAAUGUGUUGGAGUCAGUGGUCCUCAAUGUGUUGGAGUGUGGUGGUCCUCAAUGUGUUGGAGUCAGGGAUGGUCCUCAAUGUGUUGGAGUCAGUGGUCCUCAAUGUGUUGGAGUGUGGUGGUCCUCAAUGUGUUGGAGUGUGGUGGUCCUCAAUGUGCUGGAGUGUGGUCAGCCUCAAUGUGUUGGAGUCAGUGGUCCUCAAUGUGUUGGAGUGUGGUGGUCCUCAAUGUGUUGGAGUCAGUGGUCCUCAAUGUGUUUGAGUGUGGUGGUCCUCAAUGUGUUGGAGUCAGUGGUCCUCAUUGUGUUGGAGUCAGUGGUCCUCAAUGUGUUGGAGUGUGGUGGUCCUCAAUGUGUUGGAGUGUGAUGGUCCUCAAUGUGUUGGAGUGUGAUGGUCCUCAAUGUGUUGGAGUCAGUGGUCCUCAAUGUGUUGGAGUGUGGUGGUCCUCAAUGUGUUGGAGUCAGUGGUCCUCAAUGUGUUGGAGUGUGGUGGUCCUCAAUGUGUUAGAGUCAGUGGUCCUCAAUGUGUUGGAGUCAGUGGUCCUCAAUGUGUUGGAGUCAGUGGUCCUCAAUGUGUUGGAGUGUGGUGGUCCUCAAUGUGUUGGAGUCAAUGGAUCUCAAUGUGUUGGAGUCAGUGGUCCUCAAUGUGUUGGUGUGUGGUGGUCCUCAAUGUGUGGGAGUCUGUGGUCCUCAAUGUGUUGGAGUCAGUGGUCCUCUAUGUGUUGGAGUCAGUGGUCCUCAAUGUGCUGGAGUGUGGUCGUCCUCAAUGUGCUGGAGUGUGGUCGUCCUCAAUGUGUUGGAGUCAGUGGCCAUUAUAUGUGUUGAAGUGUGGUGGUCCUCAAUGUGUUGGAGUCAGUGGUCCUCAAUGUGUUGGAGUGUGGUGGUCCUCAAUGUGUUGGAAUCAGUGAUGGUCCUCAAUGUGUUGGAGUCAGUGGUCCUCAAUGUGUUUGAGUGUGGUGGUCCUCAAUGUGUUGGAGUCAGGGAUGGUCCUCAAUGUGUUUGAGUCAGUGGUCCUCAAUGUUUUGGAGUGUGGUGGUCCUCAAUGUGUUGGAGUGUGGUGGUCCUCAAUGUGCUGGAGUGUGGUCAGCCUCAAUGUGUUGGAGUCAGUGGUCCUCAAUGUGUUGGAGUGUGGUGGUCCUCAAUGUGUUGGAGUCAGUGGUCCUCAAUGUGUUGGAGUCAGUGGUCCUCAAUGUGUUUGAGUGUGGUGGUCCUCAAUGUGUUGGAGUCAGUGGUCCUCAAUGUGUUGGAGUCAGUGGUCCUCAAUGUGUUGGAGUGUGGUGGUCCUCAAUGUGUUGGAGUGUGAUGGUCCUCAAUGUGUUGGAGUGUGAUGGUCCUCAAUGUGUUGGAGUCAGUGGUCCUCAAUGUGUUGGAGUCAGUGGUCCUCAAUGUGUUGGAGUCAGUGGUCCUCAAUGUGUUGGAGUCAGUGGUCCUCAAUGUGUUGGAGUGUGGUGGUCCUCAAUGUGUUGGAGUCAGUGGUCCUCAAUGUGUUGGAGUGUGGUGGUCCUCAAUGUGUUAGAGUCAGUGGUCCUCAAUGUGUUGGAGUGUGGUGGUCCUCAAUGUGUUGGAGUCAGUGGUCCUCAAUGUGUUGGAGUCAGUGGUCCUCAAUGUGUUGGAGUGUGGUGGUCCUCAAUGUGUUGGAGUCAAUGGAUCUCAAUGUGUUGGGGUGUGGUGGUCCUCAAUGUGUUGGAGUCAGUGGAUCUCAAUGUGUUGGAGUCAGUGGUCCUCAAUGUGUUGGAGUCAGUGGUCCUCAAUGUGUUGGAGUGUGGUGGUCCUCAAUGUGUUGGAGUCAGUGGUCCUCAAUGUGUUGGAGUGUGGUGGUCCUCAAUGUGUUGGAGUCAGUGGAUAUCAAUGUGUUGGAGUCAGUGGUCCUCAAUGUGUUGGUGUGUGGUGGUCCUCAAUGUGUUUGAGUCAGGGAUGGUCCUCAAUGUGUUGGAGUCAGUGGUCCUCAAUGUGUUGGAGUCAGUGGUCCUCAAUGUGUUGGAGUCAGUGGUCCUCAAUGUGUUGGAGUCAGUGGUCCUCAAUGUGUUGGAGUGUGGUGGUCCUCAAUGUGUUGGAGUCAGUGGUCCUCAAUGUGUUGGAGUGUGGUGGUCCUCAAUGUGUUAGAGUCAGUGGUCCUCAAUGUGUUGGAGUGUGGUGGUCCUCAAUGUGUUGGAGUCAGUGGUCCUCAAUGUGUUGGAGUCAGUGGUCCUCAAUGUGUUGGAGUGUGGUGGUCCUCAAUGUGUUGGAGUUAGUGGUCCUCAAUGUGUUGGAGUCAAUGGAUCUCAAUGUGUUGGGGUGUGGUGGUCCUCAAUGUGUUGGAGUCAGUGGAUCUCAAUGUGUUGGAGUCAGUGGUCCUCAAUGUGUUGGAGUGUGGUGGUCCUCAAUGUGUUGGAGUGUGGUGGUCCUCAAUGUGUUGGAGUCAGUGGUCCUCAAUGUGUUGGAGUCAGUGGUCCUCAAUGUGUUGGAGUGUGGUGGUCCUCAAUGUGUUGGAGUCAGUGGUCCUCAAUGUGUUGGAGUGUGGUGGUCCUCAAUGUGUUGGAGUCAGUGGAUAUCAAUGUGUUGGAGUCAGUGGUCCUCAAUGUGUUGGUGUGUGGUGGUCCUCAAUGUGUUGGAGUCAGGGAUGGUCCUCAAUGUGUUGGAGUCAGUGGUCCUCAAUGUGUUGGAGUCAGGGAUGGUCCUCAAUGUGUUGGAGUCAGUGGUCCUCAAUGUGUUGGAGUCAGUGGUCCUCAAUGUGUUGGUGUCAGUGGUCCUCAAUGUGUUGGAGUCAGUGGUCCUCAAUGUGUUGGAGUCAGUGGUCCUCAAUGUGCUAGGGUGUGGUGGUCCUCAAUGUGUUGGAGUCAGUGGUCCUCAAUGUGUUGGAGUCAGUGGUCCUCAAUGUAUUGGAGUGUGGUGGUCCUCAAUGUGUUGGAGUCAGUGGUCCUCAAUGUGUUGGAGUGUGGUGGUCCUCAAUGUGUUGGAGUCAGUGGUCCUCAAUGUAUUGGAGUGUGGUGGUCCUCAAUGUGUUGGAGUCAGUGGUCUGCUCUAGUAGACUGUAUCUCACUGUAGUAGACUGUAUACUGUUUCUCACUGUAGUAGACUGCAUCACAGAGACGCUCAAUUACAUACAUGUUGUGAUGUUACAUACUACCACAGUUACAUACAUGUUGUGAUGUUACAUACUACUACAGUUACAUACAUGUUGUGAUGUUACAUACUACCACAGUUACAUACAUGAUGUUACAUACUACUACAUAAUACAGAAUACUACAGUUACAUACAUAAUGUGAUGUUACAUACUACCACAGUUACAUACAUGUUACAUACUACUACAGUUACAUACAUAAUGUGAUGUUACAUACUACUACAGUUACAUACAUGAUGUUACAUACUACCACAGUUACAUACAUGAUGUGAUGUUACAUACUACUACAGUUACAUACUACUACAGUUACAUACAUAAUGUGAUGUUACAUACUACCACAGUUACAUACAUGUUACAUACUACUACAGUUACAUACAUGAUGUGAUGUUACAUACUACUACAGUUAAAUACAUGAUGUUACAUACUACCACAGUUACAUACAUGAUGUUACAUACUACUACAGUUACAUACAUGAUGUUACAUACUACUACAGUUACAUACAUAAUGUGAUGUUACAUACUACCACAGUUACAUGCAUGGUGUUACAUACUAACUUAGUUACAUACAUAAUGUGAUGUUACAUACUACCACAGUUACAUACAUGUUGUGAUGUUACAUACUACUACAGUUACAUACAUGAUGUGAUGUUACUUAAUUCUACAGUUACAUACAUGUUACAUACUACUACAGUUACAUACCUGAUGUGAUGUUACAUACUACUACAGUUACAUACAUGUUGUGAUGUAACAUACAUGAUGUUACAUACUACUGCAUUUUCAUAGUUGAUGUGAUGUUACAUACAUGAUGUUACAUACUACCACAGUUACAUACAUAAUGUUACAUUCUACCACAGUUACAUACAUGUUGCAUACUACUAUAGUUACAUAUAUGAUGUUACAUACUACCACAGUUACAUACAUGAUGUUACAUACUACUACAGUUACAUACAUGAUGUUACAUACUAAUGCAUUUAUAUACAUGGUGUAAUGUUACAUUCUACCACAGUUACAUACUACCACAGUUACAUACAUGUUGCAUACUACCACAGUUACAUACAUGAUGUUACAUACUACUGAAUACUACUACAGCUACAGUUGAAGUCGGAAGAUUACAAACACUUAGAUUGGAGUCAUUAAAACUCGUUUUUCAACCACUCCACAAAUUUCUUGUUAACAAACUAUAGUUUUGGAAAGUUGGUUAGGACAUCUAGUUUGUGCCUGACACAAGUACAGACAGAUUAUUUCACUUUUAAUUCACCGUAUCACAAUUCCAGUGGGUCAGAAGUUUACAUACACUAAGUUGACUGUGCCUUUAAACAAAUUGGAAAAUUCCAGAAAAUUAUGUCAUGGCUUUAGAAGCUUCUGAUAGGCUAAUUGACAUCAUUCAAGUCAAUUGGAGGUGUACCUGUGGAUGUAUUUCAAGGUCUACCUUCAAACUCAGUGCGUCUUUGCUUGACAUCAUGGGAAAAUCAAAAAGAAAUCAGCCAAGACCUCAGAAAAAACAUUGUAGACCUCCACAAGUCUGGUUCAUUCUUGAGAACAAUUUCCAAAUGCCUGAAGGUACCACGUCGUGUUUAUACGUUCAAGUAUAAACACCAUGGAACCACGCAGCCGUCAUACCGCUCAGGAAGGAGACGCGUUCUGUCUCCUAAAGAUUAACAUAUUUUGGUGUGAAAAGUGCAAAUCAAUCCCAGGACAACAGCAAAGGACCUUGUGAAGAUGCUGGAGGAAACGGGUACAAAAGUAUCUACAUCCACAGUAAAAUAAGUCCUAUAUCGACAUUACCUGAAAGGCCGCUCAGCAAGGAAGAAGCCACUGCUCCAAAACCGCCAUAAAAAGCCAGGCUACGGUUAGAAACUGUACAUGGGGACAAAGAUCGUACUCUUUGGAGAAAUAUCCUCUGGUCUGAUGAAACAAAAAUAGAACUGUUUGCUGCAGUUUGCUGCUGGGUGCUUUUCUGUUUGGCCAUAAUGACCAUCGUUAUGUUUGGAGGAAAAGGGGGGAGGCUUGCAAGCCGAAGAACACCAUCCGAACCGUGAAGCACGGGGGUGGCAGCAUCAUGUUGUGGGGGUUCUUUGCUGCUGGAGGGACAGGUUCACUUCACAAAAUAGAUGGCACCAUGAGGCAGGAAAAUUAUGUGGAUACAUGGAAGCAACAUCUCAAGACAUCAGUCAGGAAGUUAACGCUUGAUAGCAAAUGGGUCUUCCAAAUGAACAAUGACACCAAGCAUAUUUCCAAAGUUGUGUCAAAAUGGCUUAUGCACAACAAAGUCAAGGUAUUGUAGUGGCCAUCACAAAGCCCUGCCCUCAAUCCCGUAGAAAAUUUGUGGGCAGAACUGAAAAACGGUGUGCGAGCAAGGAGGCCUACAAACCUGACUCAGUUACACCAGUUCUGUCAGGGGGAAUGGGCCAACAUUCACCCAACUUAUUGUGUGAAGCUUGUAGAAGGCUACACGAAACGUUUGACCCAAGUUAAACAAUGUAAAGGCAAUGCUACCAAAUAGUAAUUGAGUGUAUGUGAACUUCUGACCCACUGGGAAUGUGAUGAAAGAAGUAAAAGCUGAAAUAAUUCAUUCUCUCUACUAUUAUUCUGACAUUUCACAUUCUUAUAAUAAAGUGUUCAUCCUAACUGACCUGAGACGGGGAAUGUUUACUAGAUUUAAUGUAUUUGGCUAAGGUGUAUGUAAACUUCUAUCUUCAGCUGUACAUGUUACAUACAUGAUGUUACAUACUGCUACAGUUACAUGUUACAUACAUGAUGUUACAUACAUGAUGUUACAUACUACUACAGUAACAUGUUACAUACAUGAUGUUACAUACUGCUACAGUUACAUGUUACAUACAUGAUGUUACAUACAUGAUGUUACAUACUACUACAGUAACAUGUUACAUACAUGAUGUUACAUACUGCUACAGUUACAUGUUACAUACAUGAUGUUACAUACAUGAUGUUACAUACAACUACAGUAACAUGUUACAUACAUGAUGUUACAUACUGCUACAGUUACAUGUUACAUACAUGAUGUUACAUACAUGAUGUGACAUACUACUACAGUUACAUGUUACAUACAUGAUGUUACAUACAUGAUGUUACAUACUACUACAGUAACAUACAUGUUACAUACUACUACAGUUACAUACAUGAUGUUGCAUACUACUAGUUCCAUACAUUGUGAUGUUACAUACUACUACGGUUACAUACAUGAUGUUACAUACAUGAUGUGAUGUUACAUACUACUACAGUUGCAUACGUGAUGUUACAUACAUGUUGUGAUGUUACAUACUACUACAGUUACAUAUGUGAUGUUACAUACAUGAUGUGAUGUUACAUACUCCUACAGUUACAUACGUGAUGUUACAUACAUUAUGUGAUGUUAUAUACUACUACAGUUACAUACGUGAUGUUACAUACUACUACAGUUACAUACAUGUUACAUACAUGAUGUUACAUACAUGUUGUGAUGUUACAUACAUGAUGUGAUGUUACAUACUACUACAGUUACAUACGUGAUGUUACAUACAUGUUGUGAUGUUACAUACUACUAAAGUUACAUACAUGUUACAUACUACUACAGUUACAUACAUGAUGUUACAUACUACUACAGUUACAUACAUGUUACAUACGACUACAGUUACAUACUACUACAGUUACAUACAUUAUGUUACAUACUACUACAGUUACAUACAUGUUGUGAUGUUCCAUACUACUACAGUUACAUACAUGAUGUGAUGUUACAUACUACUACGGUUACAUACAUGAUGUUACAUACAUGAUGUGAUGUUACAUACUACUACAGUUGCAUACGUGAUGUUACAUACAUGUUGUGAUGUUACAUACUACUACAGUUACAUAUGUGAUGUUACAUACAUGAUGUGAUGUUACAUACUCCUACAGUUACAUACGUGAUGUUACAUACAUUAUGUGAUGUUACAUACUACUACAGUUACAUACGUGAUGUUACAUACUACUACAGUUACAUACAUGUUACAUACAUGAUGUUACAUACAUGUUGUGAUGUUACAUACAUGAUGUGAUGUUACAUACUACUACAGUUACAUACGUGAUGUUACUUACAUGUUGUGACGUUACAUACUACUAAAGUUACAUACAUGUUACAUACUACUACAGUUACAUACAUGAUGUUACAUACUACUACAGUUACAUACAUGUUACAUAUGACUACAGUUACAUACUACUACAGUUACAUACAUUAUGUUACAUACUACUACAGUUACAUACAUGUUGUGAUGUUCCAUACUACUACAGUUGCAUACGUGAUGUUACAUACAUGUUGUGAUGUUACAUACAUGAUGUGAUCUUACAUACUACUACAGUUACAUACGUGAUGUUACAUACGUGGUGUGAUGUUACAUACUACUACAGUUACAUACAUGUUACAUACUACUACAGUUACAUACAUGUUGUGAUGUUACAUACUACUACAGUUACAUACAUGACGUUACAUACUACUACAGUUACAUACAUGUUACAUACAUGAUGUUACAUACUACUACCGUUACAUACAUGUUGUGAUGUUACAUACUACUACAGUUACAUAUAUGUUACAUACUACUACAGUUACAUACAUGUUGUGAUGUUACAUACUACUACAGUUACACACAUGACGUUACAUACUACUACAGUUACAUACAUGUUACAUGCAUGAUGUUACAUACUACUACAGUUACAUACAUGUUACAUACAUGAUGUUACAUACUACUACAGUUACAUACAUGUUGUGAUGUUACAUACAUGAUGUGAUGUUACAUACAUGUUGUGAUGUUACAUACUACUACAGUAACAUACAUGUUGUGAUGUUACAUACAUGAUGUGAUGUUACAUACAUGAUGUGAUGUUACAUACAUGUUGUGAUGUUACAUACUACUACAGUUACAUACAUGAUGUGAUGUUACAUAAUUCUACAGUUACAUACAUGUUGUGAUGUUACAUACUACUACAGUUACAGGCAUAAUGUGAUGUUACAUACUACGACAGUUACUUACAUGAUGUUACAUGUAGGAAACCAAAGUUGUCAGUGAAUUAAAAAAGAUUUGUAUUGUU